GCACAAUGAUAUUCAAAGGAAUUUGGGGUCUUGGUGGAUCUGAACUUCUUCUAUUUAUGGAUGUUGGAGGCCACUAUGUUCAUUGGGAUCUCCAAAGCAGCAGAAAUGUAUCUGUACCCUUCCCCAGAUUUGUGCUCCAAGACAAUCCUCUCUUGGAGGUCUACAGACAAUUCCUUUGACUUCAUGCUUGUUUUUUGUUCAGACAUGAGG